GAGUGUACAUGAGAACGUCCCGUUUGACCACGUUGCAAUUGACCACAGCCAUUCACAGCAGCUGAUACCUAGAGUUUUUCCACUAUUUAAGCACUGUGAGUGUGGCUGGUGAUCAAUUGCAAAGUGUUCAAAAGACUCCUACCCAUUGUACAGUCGUGAGCUAAAAGGUAGCAACACUUUUUUUUUAUGAGUUUCUGAAUGCGCAUCUUUAAUGAGAGAUGAGAACGACUGCAUCCAUCGAGUUUUGCGCGAAACGUCAAACCAUGUCAAACGUUCGUAUACAAGGUGUACGACAUAAGAUUCGAUCGGCUUUGGUCUAAUUAAUAAUUUAAGCUUAAUUAGACCAAAUAAUAAAGACAUAUAAUAAACUCCGUACAAAUCUCAAGGCAAUUUAUGAAUACAGCGAAAGAUUUGGAUUUGCAUAAGCUUGUUACAGAAGAGACCAAACUUGAAUAUAUUAGACUCGUGUGUCAAAUGGAAAUGACUGAAACAAUUCGUAAGCAGUUAAAUGUAUUCUUGGAAGGCUUUUAUGAUAUUAUACUUAAACGAUUUCCAUAUUUAAUGAACAAGAAUUUGAAUUAUUGGCCAUCGUGCCUUAUGUAGAUAUCGAGAAUCUUGUAGCAAAUACUGAACAUCAUAAAUACACUGCUAUGUCUUUACAGAUUCAAUGGUUCUAGUGCAUUACAUGGUUUUGAUCAAGCGGAUCGUGCGAAGUUCUUACAAUUCGUUACGUCCAAAGUGUCGUUACAAGAUUUUGCUGUGUUAGAAGACAUGAAUUGUAUACAAAAGUUCCAAAUUCACAGAGAAAAUAGAUCAACAGACAAACUUUCAUCUGCAUAUACUUGUUUCAAUCAAUUGGAUCUGCCAGUGUACGAGACGUAUGAUAAACUUAAUACAAAUCUACUUAUGAAUGCAGCGAAGGAUUUGGAUUUGCAUAAGCUUGUUGGAACGCUAUUGUCGUAUAAUAUGUAGCAGUAAU